rfam:Prunus persica cultivar Lovell chromosome G2, whole genome shotgun sequence.
AGCCUUGCGUUGAGCACAAAGCGAACUAUUCUUUCGCCUUUUACUAAAGAAUACCGCGUGUUCGUCGCUUUAAAUGGCAUACGCCUGUGUUUUGAUGGGUGCACCUCUGUAGGUGAC